rnacentral:rRNA from 1 species
UACACACGUGCUACAAUGGCCGGUACAGACGGAGGCGAAGCCGCGAGGCGGAGCAAAUCCGAAAAAGCCGGUCUCAAGUUCGGAUUGCAGGCUGCAAUUCGCCUGCAUGAAGUCGGAAUCGCUAGUAAUCGCAGGUCAGCAUACUGCGGUGAAUACGUUCCCGGGCCUU